UAAUCCAGCUGCAGCGUGUUGUUUUGAUGAAGUGGUCACGCGGAUCAGCUCCAUCUCACCAUCUGUCUCUCUGCGCCAGUGUUCCAGGUUCAUUGAUAGUGAAGUUUGUCACACUUCAUGACAGUGAUUGUGCUGCUGGUGGCUUCAUAGGCUCUGCUGUCAUGGAGGAAUUUUGACAAACCCUCACCAGCUGACAGACGUGACAUGGGAUGCGGAGUCACGAAAUCAACCCAACUGCAGCUGAAACCAUGCAAUCGAGGGAACAUCUCAGUUCCAGCGGCUACAGGUCAGACAGAUCACAUGUUUCUGUGAGUCUAAAGAAACUUCACUGUCACUCAUGUCUCCUGCUGGCCUGACUUUCUCUCGUCUGUCUGUCUGUCUGUCUCUCGUCUGUCUGUCUGUCUGU